rnacentral:ncRNA from 1 species
UUUCCGGUAGCGUUGUUUCAUUGGUUCUCUGAAAUGAGCACCAAAUACCAAUGAACUAAUUAAAAUGAUGAAAGUUUUUCCGGAGAGGGUGUUUCUUUGAUUCUCUGAAAUGAAUAAAAUUCACUAAUGAAUAAAACUGAAUGGUGAAAGAUUUUCCAGGGCGUUGUUUCUUUGGUUCUUUGAAAUGGGAACCAAAGACUGAUGAACCAAUUGAAUUGGUGAAGGAUUUCCAGCGACAUAUCUUUCAAGUGCCUGUUUUAUCAGUAGCGGUUCCCUCCUAUGGUAGAGUCCGCGCCUAUUAUAAUAUUAACGGGUGAAGGGGAAUCAGGGUUUGAUGUUGGAGAGGAAGCUUGAGAAACGGAUACCAGAUUCAAGAAAGGGACCAGGUGAGCAAAUUACUCCCUUCCAGAACGGGGAGGCUGUAACGAGAAAUAAUAAUGUGAUCCCGUAAUUGGAAUGAGUACUCUAAAAUCUUUGACGAGAAUCAAUUGGAAGGCAAAUCUGUUCCCAAUAGCUACCAUAAUUCCAGCUCCAGU